AUUACAGGAUUCGCAAGUCUCCCGUAACCACUGUGAACUCUACCUUUUGUUGCCUCGGCGGGUGCUGGUCUCCCCAGCGCUCACGCCCGCCGGCGGCCCACAACUCAUUGUCUGAUUCUAAGCAUCUCCGAGCCACACACAAACGAAUCAAAACUUUCAACAACGGAUCUCUUGGUUCUGGCAUCGAUGAAGAACGCAGCGAAAUGCGAUAAGUAAUGUGAAUUGCAGAAUUCAGUGAAUCAUCGAAUCUUUGAACGCACAUUGCGCCCGCCGGUAUUCCGGCGGGCAUGCCUGUUCGAGCGUCAUUUCAACCCUCAGGCCUCGCCUGGUGUUGGGGCUCCUGCGCACCGCAGGCCCUCAAAGGCAGCGGCGGGUGCGCCUACGAACCGAACGCAGUAGUCUUCUCUCGUUCUGGUCUCGCGGGCGUGCUCCGGCCGUUAAACCCCCUUUAUCUUUCCAUGGUUGACCUCGGAUCAGGUAGGAAUACCCGCUGAACUUAAGCAUAUCAAUAAGCGGAGGAAAAGAAACCAACAGGGAUUGCCUCAGUAACGGCGAGUGAAGCGGCAACAGCUCAAAUUUGAAAUCUGGCCCUAGGCCCGAGUUGUAAUUUGCAGAGGAUGCUUCUGGCGCGGUGCCUUCCAAGUCCCCUGGAACGGGGCGCCAUAGAGGGUGAGAGCCCCGUCUGGUUGGCCGCCAAGCCUGUGUGAAGCUCCUUCGACGAGUCGAGUAGUUUGGGAAUGCUGCUCUAAAUGGGAGGUAGACCCCUUCUAAAGCUAAAUACCGGCCAGAGACCGAUAGCGCACAAGUAGAGUGAUCGAAAGAUGAAAAGCACUUUGAAAAGAGGGUUAAACAGUACGUGAAAUUGUUGAAAGGGAAGCGCUUGUGACCAGACGUGCGCCGGGGUGUUCAGCGGGCGUUCUCGCCCGUGCACUCGCCCCGGUGCAGGCCAGCGUCGGUUCGGGCGGGGGGACAAAGGCGUCGGGAACGUAGCUCCUCCGGGAGUGUUAUAGCCCGGCGUGCCAUGCCCCCGC
rnacentral:rRNA from 1 species